rnacentral:misc_RNA from 1 species
CCGAGUUUUCAACUCCCUAACCCUUAUGUGAACCUACCUAUUGUUGCUUCGGCGGACUCGCCCCAGCCGGACGCGGACUGGACCAGCGGCCGCCGGGGACCCUCAAACUCUUGUAUUAUCAGCAUCUUCUGAAUACGCCGCAAGGCAAAACAAAUAAAUCAAAACUUUCAACAACGGAUCUCUUGGCUCUGGCAUCGAUGAAGAACGCAGCGAAAUGCGAUAAGUAAUGUGAAUUGCAGAAUCCAGUGAAUCAUCGAAUCUUUGAACGCACAUUGCGCCCGCCAGCAUUCUGGCGGGCAUGCCUGUUCGAGCGUCAUUUCAACCCUCGACCUCCCUUUGGGGAAGUCGGCGUUGGGGACCGGCAGCACACCGCCGGCCCUGAAAUGGAGUGGCGGCCCGUCCGCGGCGACCUCUGCGUAGUAAUCCAACUCGCACCGGAACCCCGACGCGGCCACGCCGUAAAACACCCAACUUCUGAACGUU